rnacentral:rRNA from 1 species
CGGACAGAUGGGAGCUUGCUCCCUGAUGUUAGCGGCGGACGGGUGAGUAACACGUGGGUAACCUGCCUGUAAGACUGGGAUAACUCCGGGAAACCGGGGCUAAUACCGGAUGCUUGUUUGAACCGCAUGGUUCAAACAUAAAAGGUGGCUUCGGCUACCACUUACAGAUGGACCCGCGGCGCAUUAGCUAGUUGGUGAGGUAAUGGCUCACCAAGGCGACGAUGCGUAGCCGACCUGAGAGGGUGAUCGGCCACACUGGGACUGAUACACGGCCCAGACUCCUACGGGAGGCAGCAGUAGGGAAUCUUCCGCAAUGGACGAAAGUCUGACGGAGCAACGCCGCGUGAGUGAUGAAGGUUUUCGGAUCGUAAAGCUCUGUUGUUAGGGAAGAACAAGUACCGUUCGAAUAGGGCGGUACCUUGACGGUACCUAACCAGAAAGCCACGGCUAACUACGUGCCAGCAGCCGCGGUAAUACGUAGGUGGCAAGCGUUGUCCGGAAUUAUUGGGCGUAAAGGGCUCGCAGGCGGUUUCUUAAGUCUGAUGUGAAAGCCCCCGGCUCAACCGGGGAGGGUCAUUGGAAACUGGGGAACUUGAGUGCAGAAGAGGAGAGUGGAAUUCCACGUGUAGCGGUGAAAUGCGUAGAGAUGUGGAGGAACACCAGUGGCGAAGGCGACUCUCUGGUCUGUAACUGACGCUGAGGAGCGAAAGCGUGGGGAGCGAACAGGAUUAGAUACCCUGGUAGUCCACGCCGUAAACGAUGAGUGCUAAGUGUUAGGGGGUUUCCGCCCCUUAGUGCUGCAGCUAACGCAUUAAGCACUCCGCCUGGGGAGUACGGUCGCAAGACUGAAACUCAAAGGAAUUGACGGGGGCCCGCACAAGCGGUGGAGCAUGUGGUUUAAUUCGAAGCAACGCGAAGAACCUUACCAGGUCUUGACAUCCUCUGACAAUCCUAGAGAUAGGACGUCCCCUUCGGGGGCAGAGUGACAGGUGGUGCAUGGUUGUCGUCAGCUCGUGUCGUGAGAUGUUGGGUUAAGUCCCGCAACGAGCGCAACCCUUGAUCUUAGUUGCCAGCAUUCAGUUGGGCACUCUAAGGUGACUGCCGGUGACAAACCGGAGGAAGGUGGGGAUGACGUCAAAUCAUCAUGCCCCUUAUGACCUGGGCUACACACGUGCUACAAUGGACAGAACAAAGGGCAGCGAAACCGCGAGGUUAAGCCAAUCCCACAAAUCUGUUCUCAGUUCGGAUCGCAGUCUGCAACUCGACUGCGUGAAGCUGGAAUCGCUAGUAAUCGCGGAUCAGCAUGCCGCGGUGAAUACGUUCCCGGGCCUUGUACACACCGCCCGUCACACCACGAGAGUUUGUAACACCCGAAGUCGGUGAGGUAACCUUUUA